CGGAGGAUCCAAGCGUUAUCCGGAAUCAUUGGGUUUAAAGGGUCCGUAGGCGGUUUAAUAAGUCAGUGGUGAAAUCUGGUCGCUCAACGAUCAAACGGCCAUUGAUACUGUUAGACUUGAAUUAUUGGGAAGUAACUAGAAUAUGUAGUGUAGCGGUGAAAUGCUUAGAUAUUACAUGGAAUACCAAUUGCGAAGGCAGGUUACUACCAGUGGAUUGACGCUGAUGGACGAAAGCGUGGGGGAGCGAACAGGAUUAGAUACCCUGGUAGUCCACGCCGUAAACGAUGGAUACUAGCUGUUCGGAGCAAUCUGAGUGGCUAAGCGAAAGUGAUAAGUAUCCCACCUGGGGAGUACGUUCGCAAGAAUG
rnacentral:rRNA from 1 species